rnacentral:ncRNA from 1 species
UUGCUGGAGAGAGGUGCCCCAACCGCAUGGCGGCGCCCACCGAAGGAGCAAACCCGCAUCGGCGGGUGAAUCUCUCAGGUAAAGAGGACAGCAGGGCA